GGUCCAACAUCAGUCGAUGCGAAAUGACUCUCGGGAUGGAUCUCGGUGUGGAAUAUUUCCCCCACUGCCUCUAGCAGAAUAUUGGCGCAACAAAUUGUUUGCCGUUGCUAGAUCCGGCCUGCCAUGGAUUUCUAGUUUGGUCUUGCCUACAACUCAUCAUUGUCAUUCCAACGUUUUUAAACAUGGGUCAUCUUGCUGCCAUCCUGGACAGAGAUCCUGUACCCGUUCGCCCAUUACCGGAUUAGAAAUGGCUC